GGGAGUGUCGCGUAGCGGCAAUCGCAGCGGACUGUAAAUCCGCCGUCUUCGGGCAUCGUGGGUUCGAGUCCCACCGCUCCCA
rnacentral:tRNA from 2 species